UUCUUCAAUAUGCAUAAGAACAGUAAAGGGAACCAUUAGAUAAUACAAUGAGUAUUCAAUGUGGAGGAGGAGAAGGUUAUUACGUUUACAAGUGAAAGUUUUAGAUUGAUAUAAUCAAAUUUGCAGAACUUAUAACCAAAUUUUUAAAAGAAAUUAAUGAACUAACACACGAUCCAACUCAGCCAUCUGUCCGUGCUAUGGUCAAUUGAUGCCUCAUCGGAGCCACCGUUUUGCAGGCAUCUUUUGGGACAAUUCGAACAUAAGCUCCUAUAGGUUAUUAAAGACUUAAAGACAAGCCAUCUUUCUUUGAAUAAUCCACAUCAAACGGGGGGCAACUGACCUAUCGCGCAAAUGCAAGGAUGACCAGGCCAAUUGAAAGAGGAUUUGUGGCUGGAGGUCGUCGCUAGUGGCUCAGGUUAGACAGCAAAUCAACUCAAGCCAUUUUGAAAAACCAGUCUUCUGUAAUUCAAUAAUGUAAACAGCAAUGUUUGAAAAUGGAUGGUUUCUAAUUCCAUGUGUCCUUUUUCCCCUAAGCAAUUAGGAAAUAAAUAAAAGUCUGAUCAUAAUAGUACAAACUAUUCUGCAGUAGC
rnacentral:misc_RNA from 1 species